rnacentral:rRNA from 1 species
AGAAUAAGACCUAGCAAUAUCAUGCAAAUGAAUAAGUUAUGGAAUAUGGGGUAAUCUUAUAAUAUAUUGGGGGAAUAUACCGUUUAAUGCGAUACAUCACUUUAAUCUUACUUAUAUAAUACAAGUGUUGCAAGGCUGCUGUUAAUAUGAUAAAUAAAUUAUUUUAUAUAUAAUGGACAAGUUAUUUGAUCUAUAAAAUAUAAGGCUACAAGGUAUAUUACAAUUCUAUAUAUAAAUAUAAUAAUAUAGAUAUUGAAUAUAGAUAUUAUCAUUCUAUUGAAUAUGUACUCAAUAAGUAAUCAUUAAAUAUAAAUAUAUAAAUGGUGAAUAGAUAUUAGAUUUUUACACACUGCCCGACAUAGACUUAUUAUAUAAUAUAGUCUGAAGUUGUAACAAGGUAGGUAUAUAUAAAUAUGUGCCUGAUUAUAAUAU